rnacentral:rRNA from 1 species
UACGAAGGGGGCUAGCGUUGCUCGGAAUCACUGGGCGUAAAGGGCGCGUAGGCGGCCUGCUAAGUCGGACGUGAAAUCCCUCGGCUCAACCGGGGAACUGCGUCCGAUACUGGUUGGCUUGAAUUCGGGAGAGGGAUGCGGAAUUCCAGGUGUAGCGGUGAAAUGCGUAGAUAUCUGGAGGAACACCGGUGGCGAAGGCGGCAUCCUGGACCGAGAUUGACGCUGAUGCGCGAAAGCCAGGGGAGCAAACGGG